GUCUACAGCCAUGCCACCCUGAACGCGUCCGAUCCCGUCUGAUCUCAGAAGCUAAGCAGGGUUGGGCCUGGUUAGUACUUGGAUGGGAGACCACCUAGGAAGACCAGGUGCUGUAGGUA
rnacentral:rRNA from 1 species